rnacentral:rRNA from 1 species
ACGCCCAACAGCUAGCCCACCUAAAAUAAUUUCAACAAACCCCUGUUAAUACCCCCUAACUACCCCAGUAUUUUAAUUAAACAAACCAUUUUUCCCCCUUAGUAUAGGCGAUAGAAAGGGGGCUCCGGCGCAAUAGAGAAAGUACCGCAAGGGAAUGCUGAAAGAGAAGUGAAAUAACCCAGUGAAGCCCAAAAAAGCAGAGAUUCAAACUCGUACCUUUUGCAUCAUGAUUUAGCGAGUGUACCUCAAGCAAAGCGCACUUUAGUUUGACGUCCCGAAACUACGUGAGCUACUCCAAGACAGCCUAUCAAUAGGGCGCACCCGUCUCUGUGGCAAAAGAGUGGGGAGAGCUUUGAGUAGAGGUGACAAACCUACCGAACC